AGGUGUUACAGCUCUUUUAGAAUUUGUCUAGCAGGCUUU
rnacentral:snRNA from 1 species